GCCCCCAACACUGUCUGGCCGCGCCUGUGGGAAGCCUGAGAGGCUAGGGGCUGGAAUGCUUUAACAUCCUCCACCACCCCCCUCCCCCCCCGGACCUGGAGCUGUCCCCCUAGGGUCUGCUCUGUCCUCUCGUCCUGCAGGCGGGCCCAGCAGGCAAGAGAUCGCCUGCACGGGCCUCUGGACUAGCAGGCCAUAGCCAAAGCACCAGAGGUCCUCUCUGACCGCUGCCUCUUGGUCGCUAAGGCUCCGCCCUCCCAGCACCCUUUCAGCUCUGGCCACGCCUCUCAGCCUCCCACGGGAGCCCCCCCUCUGGAGUGUCUAUCUCCCUGCCUCCUCAGCCUCCCCGGCAGCGUGUCUUCUGAGGAGGGGUUCUGAAAUCCUCCAGACCUCAAGCCCCCACCAGGCCAGGCAACAGGGGAUCAGAACAGACCCCUUGGAAUGGUCCCUGGGUGAUUCCUCUGUCACCCAACCCCAAUCCAUGGAGGCACCUGGAGGACACUGAGGGUCCUUCAAGUCCACCCUUGCUGCCCUGCGCAUUAGAGCCUACCCUCUCCCUCCUGGAGUCCUGCAGUGGCCUCCUCAAGGCCUCCCUGCCUCCCACUCCGUCCACACUGCUGCUGGUGGUCCAUUCCACAAUGUGACUCCACUCGCGUGUCACUCUCCUGUCAUAAAGGCUUGCGUGGCUUCCCAGAGCAUGCAGGGUCAAGUCCUAAGCUCAACUCCAAACUCUUUGUCAGCUGCUCUGAGUCCCCCCCACCCCACACCCCACCCCCCCCCCCCGCCAGCAUUCCUUUUCAUUCCUUCCCACUCAACCUCUGUUUCGCUCAAAACAGCUUACCAAUAUGUCCCGUUCUGGUGGGACUCUGCCUUUGCACGUGCUGUUCCCCUGUCUGGAAUGCCCUUCCCCACCUUGGCCGUCUUCGGGCCACACAACUCAAGUCUCACCUCCUCCAGGCAGCCUUCCCUGACAUCCCGAGUUCUCGGCUACCCCAGAGCCCCUUCAUGCUGGAUUGCCAUCCCCAGGCCUCCUGAGAUCAGGAGCUGAGCUCUGUGCAUCUCCGUGGCCCCACUGCAGGAGUUGACACACAGCAGGAGAUCCUGCCGGGUAAAUGGUGCCAAGAAUGCAAAGGGAGUGUUGUGCCGGAGAAGUGGAGGACUGGGAACCAGGAGACAUUUGACGAACAGACCGGGCAGGAAGCGGAGGCUCGCACAGUCGAGAGCAUGAGGUCAGUGCUCCGGGGCCCUGUUUAACCCCCAGAGCAGAGCCUCAGAUCAAACGGCUUUAUUCCACAGGGCGGCGGAGCUCACUUCCAGGUGAGAGUGAGCAGUGGAGGCCCGGGGGCAGGUAGGGGUUGGGGGAGAACCCUACACCCAGGGGUCCCUCACCCUUUGGCUUACGGUGGCAGGUGGCCCAGCUGGCUGUCUCCGGUGCUCUGCAGGUCCCUCGAGGGUGCCUUCCAUCCACACCCCCCCCCCCCCCGCAAGUUCACGGGCUGGGAUCUGCUCGGCAUUGGCAGAGGGGAGCCCAGACACCUCUCCUGGGACCCGGAAGCCCCGUUGGUGCUGCUGAACCAUUUCCCCCACCCCCAGAGUCAGCAGUGGAGGAAGGGGGAGGGGGAGAGGGAAUCAGAAGGCGACAGGGCUGGAAUGUGAACCGCCUCAGCCAGGCCUGCUGACCAUCCCGGCCCUGGGGUGCAGGGGGAGUCGACCACCAGCUGCUGGCCCUCCUCUUCCUCCUGUUGCCCUCCCCGGGGCAGAUGUCAGGGAGCAGGUCGGGGACCACGGGAUGCCACCCCCUGCCUCUGCGGGGCCCUGCUUGCCCCCAGAAAACUCGCUCCCCUGCCUCGUGGGUGCCCUGGCCACUUGAGUCCGCGAGGUGGGCCCCAGCUCCGCAGGGAGGGCAGCUCCUCAGCUCAGCACCUGCUGGAUCCAGCCAAUCACUCCUGUGAUGCGGGUAUAGACACCAAAGUAAUUGGGCCGGCCACAGCCCAGGCCCCAGCUGACCAGCCCCGCCAGGAACCAGUGGCCACUGGGCUCCUUACACACAAGCGGGCCUCCCGAGUCGCCCUGCAAGGGGGAGAGAAGAGACAGGGCCGCGUCAGGGUAAGGCGAGGGUCCCGGCUGCUGGGAAUUUUCCAGCUGACAAGAAAGUCACACCCCCUUCUGAAGCCUCUACUUGCCCCGCGCCUGGUAAGUGGAGAGAGCCCAAAGCACCCCUGCCCAUGCUUCCGCGGGUCCUGGCCGUCGCGGAAGCGUCCGCGGGUGUCCCCACGCCCCACUCACCUCUGCCUCCCUUCUGUGGGCUCCCAUCCCUUGCCACUGUGUCCCCUCGGGCAAAGUGCCUUGCAGGGGCAGGGGGCGGAACCGGGUUUGAGCCUUAGACCUGCCCCCCAGGGUUCUCUUGUGAUCUGGGACAACUUGGGGCAAGUCCCUCCACCCCACCCCCACCCAGAGCCUCA